rnacentral:rRNA from 1 species
GACGGGGGGGGCAAGUGUUCUUCGGAAUGACUGGGCGUAAAGGGCACGUAGGCGGUGAAUCGGGUUGAAAGUGAAAGUCGCCAAAAAGUGGCGGAAUGCUCUCGAAACCAAUUCACUUGAGUGAGACAGAGGAGAGUGGAAUUUCGUGUGUAGGGGUGAAAUCCGUAAAUAUACGAAGGAACGCCAAAAGCGAAGGCGGGUCUCUGGGCCGAUACUGACGCUGAGGAGCGAAAGCGUGGGGAGCAAACAGG